GGGAAAAGGCAAUUGAGAGGAAUCUUAUUACUAAUGCCGAGGUUGGUAGGGCUGAGGUGUACAUCCGAGCCCAUACAACAAAGGAUAACAAAGUGCAGUUUCAAUAAGCCUUUUCAAUUGAGAGUGAUAGUAGAGGGUGCAUGCGGGGGAUAGGUGGAAAUGUAGGCAAGAUUGCAUUGAAGAAGACAAUGCCUAUUAUACAUAAGCUCGGUGCGGUGUCGCAAGAACGAGAUAAUUUGAUAGAUGAAUUAAGUGAAGUGAAGAAAAGCCUGGGAGAUCUCCACCAGAAGGUUAAUUGCUUUGUAGAUAAGUACAGGGAACAAAGGGAUGUGGCUCCACCGACAAUACCUCCAUUUAAAUCUAGUCAUGCAUCAUCGCCUGAUUUGGUAAAUCUUGGUAAGAGAUGCGAUCUUUGCGAUUGGAAGAAAUGGGUAAUUGCUCGUGGUGAGGUGCAUGCAGUUGAUCUAAAUACCCACGUUUAUGGAGAAAAAAUGGG